AUUGAACGCUGGCGGCAUGCUUUACACAUGCAAGUCGAACGGUAACAGGCCGCAAGGUGCUGACGAGUGGCGAACGGGUGAGUAAUGCAUCGGAACGUGCCCAGUCGUGGGGGAUAACUACUCGCAAGAGUAGCUAAUACCUCAUACGAUCUAUGGAUGAAAGCGGGGGACCGUAAGGCCUCGCGCGAUUGGAGCGGCCGCUGUCAGAUUAGGUAGUUGGUGGGGUAAAGGCUCACCAAGCCAACGAUCUGUAGCUGGUCUGAGAGGACGACCAGCCACACUGGGACUGAGACACGGCCCAGACUCCUACGGGAGGCAGCAGUGGGGAAUUUUGGACAAUGGGCGCAAGCCUGAUCCAGCAAUGCCGCGUGCAGGAAGAAGGCCUUCGGGUUGUAAACUGCUUUUGUACGGAACGAAACGGCUCUGGUUAAUACCCGGGGCUAAUGACGGUACCGUAAGAAUAAGCACCGGCUAACUACGUG
rnacentral:rRNA from 1 species